GACAGAGGGUGCAAACGUUGUUCGGAUUUACUGGGCGUAAAGCGCGUGUAGGCGGCUUCGUAAGUUGGAUGUGAAAUCCCACGGCUCAACCGUGGACGUGCAUCCAAAACUACGUCGCUGGAGUCUCGGAGAGGAAGGUGGAAUGCUUGGUGUAGAGGUGAAAUUCGUAGAUAUCAAGCAGAACACCUGCGGCGAAGGCGGCCACCUGGACUGCACCUGACGCUGACACGCGAAAGCUAGGGGAGCGAACGGG
rnacentral:rRNA from 1 species